AUGGGCGAAAGCUGACGGAUUCACGCCGCGUGAGGGAUGAAGGCCUCUGGGUCUGUAACCUCUUUCUCAAGGAAGAAGAUCUGACGGUACUUGAGGAAUAAGCCACGGCUAAUUCCGUGCCAGCAGCCGCGGUAAUACGGGAGUGGCAAGCGUUAUCCGGAAUUAUUGGGCGUAAAGCGUCCGCAGGCGGCCUUACAAGUCUGUCGUUAAAGCGUGGAGCUUAACUCCAUUUAAGCGAUGGAAACUGUAAGGCUAGAGUGUGGUAGGGGCAGAGGGAAUUCCCGGUGUAGCGGUGAAAUGCGUAGAUAUCGGGAAGAACACCAGUGGCGAAGGCGCUCUGCUGGGCCAUAACUGACGCUCAUGGACGAAAGCCAGGGGAGCGAAAGGGAUUAGAUACCCCUGUAGUCCUGGCCGUAAACGAUGAACACUAGGUGUCGGGGGAAUCGACCCCCCCGGUGUCGUAGCCAACGCGUUAAGUGUUCCGCCUGGGGAGUACGCACGCAAGUGUGAAACUCAAAGGAAUUGACGGGGGCCCGCACAAGCGGUGGAGUAUGUGGUUUAAUUCGAUGCAACGCGAAGAACCUUACCAGGGCUUGACAUCCUGCGAAUCCCUUGGAAACGAGGGAGUG
rnacentral:rRNA from 1 species